rnacentral:piRNA from 1 species
UGCAACUAAAGUUUCAAGGAUCUGCUG